rnacentral:rRNA from 1 species
GUGAGGAAUAUUGCGCAAUGGAGGCAACUCUGACGCAGCCAUGCCGCGUGCAGGAAGAAGGCGCUACGCGUUGUAAACUGCUUUUAACCGGGAAGAAACCCCAGGACGUGUCCUGGGUUGACGGUACCGGAGGAAUAAGCACCGGCUAACUUCGUGCCAGCAGCCGCGGUAAUACGAAGGGUGCAAGCGUUAUCCGGAUUCAUUGGGUUUAAAGGGUGCGUAGGCGGAGCGUUAAGUCAGUGGUGAAAUCCUGCAGCUUAACUGUAGACUUGCCAUUGAUACUGGCGCUCUUGAGUGCGCUUGAAGUGGGCGGAAUGUGCCGUGUAGCGGUAAAAUGCUUAGAUAUGGCACAGAACACCAAUUGCGAAGGCAGCUCACUAAGGCGAUACUGACGCUGAGGCACGAAAGCGUGGGGAUCGAACAGGAUUAGAAACCCUGGUAGUCC